UUGGAGGGCAAGUCUGGUGCCAGCAGCCGCGGUAAUUCCAGCUCCAAUAGCGUAUAUUAAAGUUGUUGCAGUUAAAAAGCUCGUAGUUGAAUUUCGGGAUCAAUUUGCUGGUCGUGCCUUCGGUACGUACUGGUAUUAUUGGUUUCUCCUUUCUGAUGAAUCGCGAUGUCAUUAAUUUGGUGUCGUGGGGAAUCAGGACUGUUACUUUGAAAAAAUUAGAGUGUUUAAAGCAGGCUCACGCUUGAAUACAUUAGCAUGGAAUAAUGAAAUAGGACGUUUGAUUCUAUUUUGUUGGUUUCUAGGAUCGACGUAAUGAUUAAUAGGGAUAGUUGGGGGCAUUAGUAUUCAAUCGUCAGAGGUGAAAUUCUUGGAUUUAUUGAAGACUAACUACUGCGAAAGCAUUUGCCAAGGAUGUUUUCAUUAAUCAAGAACGAAAGUUAGGGGAUCGAAGACGAUCAGAUACCGUCGUAGUCUUAACCAUAAACUAUGCCGACUAGGGAUCGGAUGAUGUUAAUUUUUUAAUGACUCAUUCGGCGCCUUACGGGAAAC
rnacentral:rRNA from 1 species